CAGAUCUAUGUAUGGUAUACUUAAAAAUUUGGCUCGUCUAUUAAAAAAAAAGAAGAUUGAAUUGGAAGAUAAAAAUAUAAAAAAAUAUAUAUGGGAAGAAUUCAUUGGGGGAUUAUAACUCCUAUAAUGAUGAGAGGACAAGAGUUGCUCACUUCCAAAUAGUUAAUAUUUGUGGAUUCCACAUCUUGUUGUGAUAGUGAUAAUUCUACUAUCACACUAAGGCUUACUGCAACUAAAGCAGGUGCAAUACCAAUUGCCAUUUUUUGCACAGGGGAUAUUCCAUGGAGAGUUAUAAGAAUGUGUUUUCUCUGUUCAAGGAGCACUACCCACAGGAAUUUGGUGGAAAUAAUGUAAAUUUCUAAUGUCUUAAAGAUUUGGCCAUCUACUUAAUUAUUAUGCCAAUUUUAUGUAGCACGAGCAUAUAGAAGUCAUAUACAAAAAAGUCAGGAAAUUGAUACAUCACAUAACAAGAUCUUAAUGUGUUAUAUUAAAAAGAAUACUAACCUCACCUAAAUUAUGGUAAGAAUGAAUAUUAUUAAAUUUAAAAUAGCAAAUUAAAUUAUAUUUAGUUAAUUGAAAAAUAAACAUUUAUCUCAUAUUAAUUUUAGCGUAAGUUAUAUUCAAUCAAAGUAAAAUUUAUUAAUUUUUAUAAAAUUAUUUUUAAAUUACAAUUUAGAUUUAACAAAUAAAUUUAAAUUAUUUACCACACCAAAAUAUGGCAGUAAAAUUUUUUUUAUCUCAACCACAAUAAAUAUGGGAGCUCUGCAAAUAGUAUAAAAUACCUAUUUAUCAAUAUCUUCCCAUGCCAGAAAAUUAACCUCCAUCACUAUUCCUAACCAAAAUAAACAUUUAUCUCAUAUUACCACUCAAAAUAUGCCAGUAUAAAAUUUUUAUCACAACAAUACUUGAACUCUGGAAAUGAUAUAUGAUAUAUAUUAUCAAAUAAUAAUACAUUUAUUUAACAUUAUAAAUAUAUGUCAAUCAAUUUAUAGUUGAUAAUGAGAAAAAUAAUAUAGAUAUUGAUUGUUUAUUACAUAUUUAUGGAUAUUGAUAAAUAUCACGGAUGGAUAUAAAAAGUUGGUAGUUCUUUGUUUUAUAAUUAAGAAUUAGUUUUUAUUUUAUGAAAAAAACUUGGUACUUGAUAUACUUUUCGACGGAAUAUAUUUGAAUAAAAACGAUUACAAAAAAUAGUUGUAAUUUUGAAUUAAAGUUAUACUUAUUUUAAUGGUACCGACCGACCAGGACCAGUACCCGUGAACACUUAUUAGGGAAAAAUAAGAAAAUUUAAAAAAAAACAAAAACAAAAUAGUGAAUAUUUUUGUUAGAGAAUUUUAGAUAUUAUAAAGGAAGAACAAUUUCUAGGACCGGGUUCCUCAAAAUAAUAUUAAUUCUGGAUAUA